AUAUUGUACAAUAAGGAACUCAUCAGUGGAACCGAAUCUAAGAAAUCGUAAGCCGAAUUUAUUAAGAAGAAAUGAUUUUAUUGAAAAGAAUUGAUUUUAUUGAGAAGAAGGGAUUUUACUCCGAACAGCAGAUGUAUCGGAAACAACCAAACAACGUUAGUAAUAAAAGGCGCCGAGUUUUGCAAUAUUUUAUCAGUUCUUCAAAAGAAAUAACAUGAACAAGUCAGCACUUCUACUUUUGCUUCUUAUCGGACUUCUUGUCCUUACUGAAACUACUACUGCUUGGGGUCCUCGUCGUCGUCGUAGUGCUCGUCGUCGUCGUGCCCCUUCUGACCAAGAGGAAAUGCCACAAAUGAACGAAAUUCCAGACAUGGAGUCCGUUUCAGACGUCGAUUUCUCCAAAUGGGUUGUUGGAUAAUCACAAUAAGUGCUUAUUUAUGUUUAAGCUGCAAAAGUAAAGUUUUAAUAAAUUGAACAUCAGCCAAUGUA